GCUUGGUGGGAGAGUGGCGAACGGGUGAGUAAUGCGUGACCGACCUGCCCCAUACACCGGAAUAGCUCCUGGAAACGGGUGGUAAUGCCGGAUGUUCCAGUUGAUCGCAUGGUCUUCUGGGAAAGCUUUCGCGGUAUGGGAUGGGGUCGCGUCCUAUCAGCUUGACGGGGGGGUAACGGCCCACCGUGGCUUCGACGGGUAGCCGGCCUGAGAGGGCGACCGGCCACAUUGGGACUGAGAUACGGCCCACACUCCUACGGGAGGCAGCAGUGGGGAAUAUUGCGCAAUGGGCGCAAGCCUGAUGCAGCGACGCCGCGUGAGGGAUGGAGGCCUUCGGGUUGUAAACCUCUUUUAUCGGGGAGCAAGCGUGAGUGAGUUUACCCGUUGAAUAAACACCGGCUAACUACGUGCCAGCAGCCGCGGUAAUACGUAGGGUGCAAGCGUUAUCCGGAAUUAUUGGGCGUAAAGGGCUCGUACGCGGGUCGUCCCGUCCGGUGUGAAAGUCCAUCGCUUAACGGUGGAUCCGCGCCGGGUACGGGCGGGCUUGAGUGCGGGAGGGGAGACUGGAAUUCCCGGUGUAACGGUGGAAUGUGUAGAUAUCGGUAAGAACACCAAUGGCGAAGGCAGGUCUCUGGGCCGUUACUGACGCUGAGGAGCGAAAGCGUGCGGAGCGAACAGGAUUAGAUACCCUGGUAGUCCACGCCGUACACGGUGGAUGCUGGAUGUGGGGCCCGUUCCACGCGUUCCGUGUCGGAGCUAACGCGUUAAGCAU
rnacentral:rRNA from 1 species